AUUGAACGCUAGCGGGAUGCCUUACACAUGCAAGUCGAACGGAGUGGCGAACGGGUAAGUAUUGUAUCGGAACGUGCCCCGGAGUGGGGGAUAACUACGCGAAAGCGUAGCUAAUACUGCAAACUCUUGGAGUGGCCGAUAGCGGAUUAGGGAGUUGGUGGGGUAACGGCUCACCAAGGCGACGAUCCGUAGCUGGUUUGAGAGGACGACCAGCCACACUGGAACUGAGACACGGCCCAGACUCCUACGGGAGGCAGCAGUGGGGAAUUUUGGACAAUGGGGGAAAGCCUGAUCCAGCCAUCCCGCGUGUGCGAUGAAGGCCUUCGGGUUGUAAAGCACUUUUGGCAGGAAAGCGGUACCUGCAGAAUAAGCACCGGCUAACUACGUGCCAGCAGCCGCGGUAAUUC
rnacentral:rRNA from 1 species